UCACAUGGCCAGACACAGACCUGGCUGACCAGCUGCAGGCUGGUGCUGACAGUUCCAGCACACCUUGGCUUCCUCAAGAGAUCCAAAGGAUCAUGCUCUGCCCUGCCCCGCACCCCAGGAGGUUGGUCCCAUGCUCCGGAUCACCCCGACUCCCUUCCCCUCUGGCUCCAAGCUGGAUUCAGCCCACAGGAGACACCAGCAGAAGAUGGAAGGCUGGGAGGAGAGGCUGGGAUCUGUCUCCUCCACUCUCUGCCUGUCUCAGGGCCUCCAGGACUGCAGCUUCCACUGGGCAGCCUCCCCUUGAUCCUAAGGGUGGUAACAGCUUCCUGCUAUUGCCAGCUGCUGGGUGCCUCAACAUCCUUUGUUGGUUUCCUUAAACUUGUCCACAUCUCUGUAAAUCAUCCUUUACUAAAUAGCCCUUCAUCUGAAGCAUCAGUAUGAAUGCCAUUCCUGCCAGGACUCUGACCAAUGCACAUGGAAUGCAGUGGAAUGCAGCCGAAAGGAGUGUUGACA
rnacentral:lncRNA from 10 species